UACAGAGGUCUCAAGCGUUGUUCGGAUUCAUUGGGCGUAAAGGGUGCGUAGGUGGCGGGGUAAGUCAGGUGUGAAAUUUCGGAGCUUAACUCCGAAACUGCAUUUGAUACUGCCUUGCUUGAGGACUGGAGAGGAGACUGGAAUUCACGGUGUAGCAGUGAAAUGCGUAGAGAUCGUGAGGAAGACCAGUGGCGAAGGCGGGUCUCUGGGCCGAUACUGACGCUGAGGAGCGAAAGCGUGGGGAGCGAACAGG
rnacentral:rRNA from 1 species